ensembl:lncRNA
GAAACCCCUCAUCAUGAAGCACUGGAGCUCUUGAGUUUGAGAUGAACGCACUGGAGGAAACCCUGAGGGAAUGAUUAAUUAAAUGAACCCUACAUGCCUCAAUUCAAGCCCUGCGAGAAGACAGAACUUGAGUGCAUAUUUUCUGAAUGAUCAAGGCUUGAUCGACCGACAUCAGCAUGAUGACAGACGUUUAAAGAUGAGAUCAGUGGACCUACAGGCACCACAGUCUCCUUCCCAGCAUUCCCUUUACCCAUAUCUCUCCCUACAAUGUUCAAACACCAAGCACUCCCUUUCUAUGUGACCCCACGAUGCAAAGCUCUUCAUGCACUGAAAUGAUUUCAUGGCCAAAGCAUUAAUGAGAUGAUAUCACUUCACCCCCCCACCCAAAACUCUGUUCAGUAACACCACAGUUUUCCGCUGACAUCACCGUGCACAAUUCCUGUCAGACAAGGCCCCUGAGCACCCAGAUGCACUCAGGUCCUGUAAAUAGAAGAGUGUUGAGCUAAUUUGAAGUGUAUGCUGAAGAGGCAACAGAUGUAACGCUCAUAACACAACGUUUCUGCCGAAAACAAGGUCACACCUGUGGCAGGAUACAUCUCAGAUAGCAGAGGAACGCUGAGAGAUUGACACAGGGAAAGAGUUCAGUGAGUUUCUAUGAAACUGUUGCCAAAAAAUAAGGAUAAUUGUAAUUCUUUGCCUUUAGCUAACGAGUCAUAAUCAUGAAUGUUUUUAAAACGGCAUUCAAAAUCUAUUUCUUCUGUAAUGUGCCAUAUUUUGGUGUAGGAUGGUGCUUCUUUAUAUUUAUUGAUAAAUGAUUGAAUUAUAAAAAGUGGGUGGUACAUACCAGAAGAAAGACCUAAUUAUGUAGGUUUUAAUACUUAAAGUUUAUUUUUACAUUGUUAAAAUAGUCAAUGUGACAUCAGUGGUUCAACCUAAAUUUUAUGAAGCUAUGAGAAUACUUUUUAUGCGCAAAGAACAAACAUAAACAAAAAUAAAGAUUAUAU